CACACGUGUACCUGUUGUGUCAUGAAAGUGGCACCUCAAAAAUGAUGUUGAACCGUUUUCCCCUAUUUUUUUAAUUUUUCUAUACCCAUUCAGAAAGCACAGCAAACUUCCUCUGGAGAACGCGACCAGCUUCAGGCGCACAGCGACGGAUACAGCAAAGACACCAGUGGGAGAUGGAGCCAGGUGUUUGGCAGCAGCAGAGUGUUCAGGUGUAACUGUGCCGGUGACGGAACAUGACGAGCAGCCGCAGAUGAAGGAUGAGGCGUGGAGGAUUUUGGGGAAGAUGGGGCGCCCACGACCUGCUCCCUCAAGAAUAACCCCCCGCCGAUGGAGAGGAGGCGCACGUUGGACUCCCGACUCAAUCUGGUUUGAAGAGGUCGGGAUGAUUCCCUUCAAUUUGGCUUUACCUGGGACCACGAGUGUCCAGCAGCAGGCCAGUCUGGAUCAUCAUGCUGGAUAGCAUGUUGGCAAUCAGCUCGGAAAAUUCACAACUAAGUGCCCACAUACUAUGCUUUUGUUCAUCAGUUUGUUCUGUUCGUAUGUUGACGAUGCACGUAUUUAGUACACUCCAAUCAUUCCUCCUGACUCUGGAAUUUAAUCCGUUGCCUUUUGUACUGGUGCACUGUGACUGGGUAAUCACGUCAGGCCGACUGCUUCUCAAAUAUAGAAACUUUCCUUUUAUAAGGUCAACAUUCAUGGUUGUUUGGCUCCGUAAUCUAGCAUCGAGCCAAACCCGAAGUCCACUUCUGAAAAUGGCUGAUUAAGAUUUUGAUCAAUCUUGUGCUUUCGGUGAGACAGACUUAGGAAAUGCCAUCAGAAAAUUGCAUUUCCAAAUGACAUUAGGCGCCCAGUUGACCAUCCAAUUCCAUGUGUUUCUAUUGAGAUGUUAAGAUCUGAUAUCAUUUGGGUCAGAAAACCUGCUUUUUUUUUCUCUCUAAGUGAGGCAAUUAAAUUUCCUUGAUGGUCUCUGAGAGCACUUAGCUUAAGAGAAUACACUUCUAAAUCAAAAAGCUUUCAAUCAUCUGAAAUCAUAUUUGGGAGAAAUCUGCCCCCGAGUGUAGUGUCACAUGCAAUGCUGUUGAGGAUGUGACAGACUCGUGCUGAGAUGGCCGUUGUUGGGAAAGGUUAUUGUGCAUGUCUCUCUGUGAGCUGCGCAUUGGCUGCGACAUGUUACCGUGUGACUUCAUAUCAACCGCGAGAUGGGACAAGGGAGGGGAGGACUGCCAACCCGUGACGGAUUACAUCAAAGGACACAAAUAGGAAGACCAAUAAUUAUGGCCUGCUGAAUUUAUUACCUGUUUUCGUUUUCUCUCACACAUGGAUGAAAUAUGACAGUUGAUAUAUUAGAUUAACAAAGACUAACUGGAAGCUUUAAACAAUCAUCCAAUCAACAAAUUAGAUUGAAGUGGCUUUAAAAUAUGUUACAGGUCUCAAGCCCUGUCGUGUAGAGAGGCAAAUAUCGCCUUAAAGAUUGGAAGUUUAUUCCAGGCAACACUAGACAAACUCCUUACCCAAGAUAGGAGAAUUUGACCAAUCAACUUUUUAAAGUGUAUUCUUUUUUAGGUGAAGUGAGCAAUUACAAUAUCAUUUUAGAAUCCAUGUUUGGCUAAUUCAGAUGGAAGAACAUACUCUUGGACAGUGAACAUAGGAGCUCAAAGUUAUGCUUUACUGUUUCGAGUUUCAAAUAAUAUCACUUGACAUGAGUAAAAGCUGUGAGGGUGACGACUGACUGAUGGUUCCACUCAGACAAAUAUGUUUUCAUUUUAAAAUGGCGUUGUUUUCUUUAAACGAAAAGAAUCUCAGAGCAUUUUAGCUCUGCAUCAAAAAUUAUCUCCUCUCGUCCUUACUAACACGUGACAUAUCUCAUGACCGUUCACACACACUUCUAUAAAUAGAUUGAUGGUUGAAAAUAAAACAAUUAAGUGCUAUAAAUUCAGCGGUAUUUGAAUU